rnacentral:rRNA from 1 species
UACGUAGGGUGCGAGCGUUGUCCGGAAUUAUUGGGCGUAAAGAGCUCGUAGGCGGUGUGUCACGUCGGCCGUGAAAACUUGCAGCUUAACUGUGGGCGUGCGGUCGAUACGGGCAUCACUGGAGUUCGGCAGGGGAGACUGGAAUUCCUGGUGUAGCGGUGAAAUGCGCAGAUAUCAGGAGGAACACCGGUGGCGAAGGCGGGGUCUCUGGGGCAACAACUGACGCUGAGGAGCGAAAGCGUGGGGAGCGAACAGG